UCUAAAUUCACGGAUAUUAUAGAAUUCAUCUUUAAUUUUUAUCUUAUAAAAAAUUAAACCAUUAAUUCACUAUGAAUUGUUUGGCAUCUUAAAAAUUCUAGCAGGUGCUCUAAAAUCCUAAUUCACAAGCACCUAAGUACUAUUUUCUUCAUAUCUCACAAAUCCAAAAUCCAAAUAUUAUAAAAAAUUAUGUAUAAAAUUUAGAAACAUAAAAAUACACAUUUUAGAAAUUCUUAGCUAAAAUCUUAUCAAAUUGCACAGGAUAUAGCUUAAAACACAACUAUUAGCAAUUUGGAUUACUUACAAUUCUUUAGAUUCCAAAUUUUGAUUUCAACUUCUAAUAAUUCCUUCAUCUUAGCUCAAA
rnacentral:lncRNA from 1 species